rnacentral:rRNA from 1 species
GAUGAACGCUGGCGGCGUGCCUAAUACAUGCAAGUCGAGCGAACAGACGAGGAGCUUGCUCCUCUGACGUUAGCGGCGGACGGGUGAGUAACACAUGGAUAACCUACCUAUAAGACUGGGAUAACUUCGGGAAACCGUAGCUAAUACCGGAUAAUAUAGUGAACCGCAUGGUUCAAUAGUGAAAGACGGUUUUGCUGUCACUUAUAGAUGGAUCCGCGCCGCAUUAGCUAGUUGGUAAGGUAACGGCUUACCAAGGCAACGAUGCGUAGCCGACCUGAGAGGGUGAUCGGCCACACUGGAACUGAGACACGGUCCAGACUCCUACGGGAGGCAGCAGUAGGGAAUCUUCCGCAAUGGGCGAAAGCCUGACGGAGCAACGCCGCGUGAGUGAUGAAGGUCUUCGGAUCGUAAACCUCUGUUAUUCGGGAAGAACAAAUGUGUAAGUAACUAUGAACGUCUUGACGGUACCUAAUCAGAAAGCCACGGCUAACUACGUG